UCUAUUGGCCGCGGUGGAAUGAAACCGCCCCAGAGAAGCAGGUGGAGGAGGAGCCUCUGGAAGAGGAAGACGGGACAGCAGUUGGGCCAAGCCAUCCUCAGGAGGCCCUGGGAGGAGGUGGGUUGGAAUCUCUGGAUCUCUUGGCCCCUGGAGGCCAUCCCCACCCCCAGAGAGGACAAAACAUCCAACACAGCCCAGAGGAAUGCUGGGGAGGGAGAUGUCUGUGGGACACAAGGACAGUGCACAGACGCUGCCUGGCGGUUCUGCCGGGGAGGCAGGCCCAGGUCACAGAAGCCGUGCACCUCAGAACCAGGACAACAGGAAAGCAGGAAAACAGCAUGAACUCCCCAAGGCUGCAGAUGGCUCCAAGUUCUGGGUGGUGAAAAUGCCAAGCGGAUGGCAGCGAGCAAUUAGGAAUUUAUGGAGCAUGCAGGAGAGGUGGGGAAAAUGUCCCCAUCUAGACAUGUGAUGGAGCCUCUGAGCUCAGCCGUGACCUAAGUGGGCAGCUGCAUUAGGCUGGCCUGGAGAGAGCAGAUGCUGGAUCUGGACACUCAUUCAGGGUGGACAGCGUGGACAACAGGUUGUCCACACCUGCCAUCCCUAAGCGUGGGACCGCAGCCACCAAGCCUUUCCAAGCCCCAGUCUUCUAUGAAAAGGGGCUGGAGGACCACAACUAGAGGGCUGGCUUGGCAAAUAAGAGCACUGGCUGCUCUCCCAGAGGACCCAGGUUUGAUUCCCAGCACUCCCAAGGUGGCUUACAACCACCUGUAACUCCAGUCCCAGGGGACCUGGCACCCUCUUCUAGCCUCUGCAGGCCCUGCACACAUGUGGUGCACAGACAUAUAUGUGGGCAAAACAUCCAUACAUAAAAAUAAAAAAAAAAAUAAGAAUCUUAAAUGAGACUGUAGUGCCCACUUCCCGUCUUGAGAAGAAUAUGACGCACAGUGGGUCACACACAGCUCUGGGAAUGUUCUUAGGAGGCAGAGCCUGGUGUUGGAGAGAACAGGGCUUUUAAAGCUGGUAGGCUCAGGCAACGUUGCUGCGACUUAGUAGCCUGCAUCUGAGACUUCCUUCCUUCAGCAAUAAAAUGGAAGAAUUAUGUUAAUCACCUGACAGGCACUGUGAGAGCCGGAGCCACGAGACCCAAGAACCAGCCGGUGGCACAGCACACACUGGCCUCUGCUGUAGCUUCUGUCACUUUGCCAAAACUAACACAGGUUUACAUAAAAACUGAUACAGAAGGAGCCUAAGAAAGACAUGCCUUCAAGGGACGCAUGCCUUCUGCACCUCGCUGAGGUGAACCGUGGGGGCCCUCUGAAGUUGUUAUCUCAGUGUGGAGAGCUCAGCCAUGCCCACUUUCCGUGUGCAAUGCACCAGAUAGGCAGACAGGGGAUAAGUGAGAGGCUGCCAAGAACCCUCCUCUGUGGUACUCUCCGGCCUCUCAGGACAGAUAGCUGGUCUCGGCCCCAAUCCUGGCACGGGCACCAGUGGCCUCUCUAUCUGCCUUUCUCCUAGCCGAGGGCUCUCGGAAGGUAGGGCUGUGGUCUUUACAGUUUCUACAUCCCUAACAAGAACAAGGUUCAUCAUAUAGUGGACGGACCAAGAAAUAUUUGUUAGAACCUGGUGAAUUUGUUGGUGGCAAGCAUAUAUGUCCAUCCACCUCUGCACACAUCUACAUUAAAAUGGCUGCUGGAGUCCACUGAGGCUGGUGAUGGGGAAAAUGUCGAAAACCGUCCUGACUAGGCACUGCCUUCCAGAGCCAGGGUUGCACUUAGGCAGCAAGCAGCUGUGGUCGCUGUGCAGCUUCCUCCAAGUGUGAACAGCAGCAGUGAGAGGGUGUCUGGAGGGCUCCAGAGAGCGGCUGGGUCAGGAACGACACAAACAGAGCCAACAACAACCAAGGACGGCAGAAAUAGAGGGAGAGCAGAGAGCUGAGAAGUGUUCAGACCAGCAGGCUGCCACCACAUCCAUACAACUGGCUCCCCACUCUCUGCUGAUGGUGUUCCAGCUGAGGCAUCCGGGCAUCAGAUACGAGUCUAACACUCAUCAAUUAUGGAGUCAAAUUGUUCCAGCUGCCAACCUCUUAGCUCAAAGAAAACACAAAUAUCAAAGGAAUGCUUAUCACAGAGGCUAAUGAUUAACAUUAACAGAGUUUUGACAGUAUCUAACAAUGCUUUACUCCUAAGCAAAUACACUUGGGGAGAGUUAAGCAGGCUUAUCUGUCUCAGAUAGACAAAUGGCUUGAGGGAUGGAGUGAGGGGUGGGGGUGGUGGUAGGCACACAGAUGAAUGCUCACAACCACCUGUGCAUCUCUGCCUAGGACAAGGCAGCAGGCCAUCCAGGUGUUGUUGUUCAGAGACCAGAUACUGGAAGCCUGUUGAUACCCAACACCCUUCUUUCUUCUGAGAGGCCCUAAAUCAUUUGGGAAGAGUCACCCAAAGGAGUGUUGUGACUAGCCAUGCUAGCAAACCCACACUGCCUGCUUCGUAGCUAAGGAGAAGAGGCCACAACUAGGUCAGCUGCUGGCCCACGGGGUGCCAUGUUUGGAUAGCCCCUGGUUCCUAGUGAUAUUCUCUCCGGCCAACGUCCAUCCUCUCUGCCUCUUGGUUUUGGUUUAUCCAGCACAUGCUCUGGAUGUUGAAUCUACUGUGGCCUCACAGUGGGAUCUCUGCUCUUCUCUCCACACUCAGUCCCCCUGGAAGUCGCCAAGGUCUUCCCAACACCACACAAGGCACACGAAGCCACGUCCAGCCAAUCACUGGCUCCAGCCCUUGCUUCUGCCCUAACCAGGCCUUCUGCUGCUGCUGUCCAGUCCCCAGCGGAGCACACACGCCCUUUCACUCUGAUCUUACCAUCCUUCAGACCUGCUUCUCCUGGACUGCCCUUCAAAACCUUCCCCCUAUCGUGGUCCUUCGCCAAAAAUGUUA